ACGUAGGUGGCAAGCGUUGUCCGGAAUUAUUGGGCGUAAAGCGCGCGCAGGCGGCUUUCUAAGUCCAUCUUAAAAGUGCGGGGCUUAACCCCGUGAUGGGAUGGAAACUGGGAAGCUGGAGUAUCGGAGAGGAAAGUGGAAUUCCUAGUGUAGCGGUGAAAUGCGUAGAGAUUAGGAAGAACACCGGUGGCGAAGGCGACUUUCUGGACGACAACUGACGCUGAGGCGCGAAAGCGUGGGGAGCAAACAG
rnacentral:rRNA from 1 species